CAGAUCUCCGCGAGAAGAAAAAAGUUAAAAGAAUUAACAAUGUGUCCAGAGAUUUUCAAUCCUUACCGCGUUUCGAGUUUCGACGUACGCGACGGAUAGAAACACCAACGAAAUUAAGGACGACGAACGAGAUGAUGAGCACGAUAUCAUACGCGGUUUGGCCCUGCAUAAUACCAAACUAGCUAUAUCCUCAGUGCUUAUCUCCUCCCGGCUCUAUCUCAGGUUUUCAUGGCGCAUAUGUAUCAGACUAGCUAGGCAUCGAUCGUGAAUGCGCGCAUGCAUGCAUGACGUACGACGCAUCAGCUAGCUAAUUUGCUAUAGCUAGGUUUACAUAAGUUGUUGUAUAUGUUACAGCUAUAGGUUUAUAAGAAUAGUUGUACAAAGUUUACUCUUCACUUAUCCUAUACAUAUCAAUACAAAAUAAAAAAUAAACUAGAAUACUCCUAAUUUAUCAAUAAUACAAUUAAUUACUCACUUUAUCUACUCCCAAUACAAUUAUUCCCUAUUUUAAAAGAACUCCAAUGCAAUGAUUAUUUAAAAAUAAACUUAUUUUACAACAAAAGUAGGAGCCAAAAAUAAACCUAUUAACAGAGAGGGAAUAUAUAUGUAAGUAUAACCCAAGCACCUAGCGUACGUGUCCAUGCUCAAUUGCUCAUGAACUAGCCGGGCUAGCUUUAGCUAUAGCUAUCUAACACCGGACCGGCCGAUCGAUGUUCGAUGGAAAAAUAGCCAAACCGUUCGUCCGGCCGGUCGGGCCGGCGGCGCCGCCUAUAAAUAGAUUGCAAAGCACUCAGCGAUCACCUCUCCUCCUCGAUCCCAUGAGCCACUGCGUUCUAGCUAGCUAGCUACUGGGCGGUGGCCGGGUCACCCACACCGAUCGAUCCACUCGAUCUCACCUACACUCGCCGUCGACGUCCAGCUGCACCGCGCGCUGCGCCGCCACUGCUUGCCAUGGCUCCGCCGCAGCCGCCGGCACGCCGGGUCGUCGCGCCGCGGUACGUGCCGAGGAGGGGGAUGGUACUCAGGGCCGUGUUCGCCGUCCUCCUCUCGUGGCUCCUCCGUCGCCGCCGCCAUCACCGUCGCCACCGCCGCCGCCCGCGGCGCCACGGCGGCGGCGGCGGCGUCGUCGAGCCCGCACCACCAGAUCAGCCGAACGCCGCGGGCUAACGCGCGCCCACCACUACUCCGACCAGCUGCAUGUACAUGCAAUAUUACUGCUGCUUAAUUUAAGUGAGUGAGUUUUCCGGGUUGUGUUUUCCUGUAGUUUUCUUGGUCCAGCUCGCUAGCUUGAACAAGAAAGGUUAACUAUUUUUUAACCUGAACUUUUAAUUCUCUUUCUCCGUGCUGAUUAAACUGCAGGUCAUCAAGUAAAUUAACCCAGCCCAGAAAUGAUCAAGUAGAUAGAACGGAAGCAGAUCCUCUAAUUUAACUGCACAUGCAGUUGAGUCACUGGCAUAUGGGUCCCACUUUACUAUGGCCUACAUGUCAGUGACUCAACUGCGCAGCAGUUAAAUCAGAGGAUCCCUUUUACACUAGCGUAGAGACCAAAGUUAAGGUCUACGGUGGAGUCAAGCAACCGGUGGUUGGGACUUGGGAUUGAUCAGUGAUCAUCAUAUCGGGUGGACCUGUGCGGGUCAACGUUAAUUAUUGUUCUUUCAUUUGUUAUUAAUUAGUUAAAUUUGUUCGUUCCUUAUAUAUAUAUAUAUAUAUAUAUAUAUAUAUAUAUAUAUAUAUAUAUCCCUCCGUUGAUUUUAAUAGGACAUAUUUUGAUUUUUUACAAAAUAAACUCUGUAGUUUUUUACAAGUGAUUUUUAAAACUAAAAGUAAAUUCAAUUAAAAAUGUACAAGUAAAUAUAGUGUAUAGUAGAAGUUAUACCAAUAGGAUUUUAAAAUGGUUUCACACAAUAUUGUUUUUUCUUUGUAAUUUUAGUGAUAAUAAAACUUAUGAAAAGAAAGUGGUCAAAAUCUGACCUUGGACUUUCUAGAUAGAAAUUAAAAUAUAUGUCCUAUAGAAAUCAACGGAGACAGUAUAUAGUAACUGGAUAGACAAGCUGUCCUUGUAAUGAUGUAACUUGGUGUUGUUUUCCCUUCCAAGAAAGUAGCCCCAUGUAAUGUAACCGGUCGGUAUAUGAAUAAUAUAUAUCUAUUCUUUCGUUUGUCUUGAUGGCCAUUCAAUUCCAUCGUUGCAAUAUAUCGAAUAUAUAAUAUUAUAGAGGCUCUUAUCAAAUAUACAGUAUACAGUAAAAUAUUUCUACAACACAAAUUGCACUGUGCACCUAGCUGAAGACUGAAGUGUUAAUUUGUCGUUUCAAAUGAACAGUUUAACUUUGCACCAAGGUGGAAAAAUAAUUUCAUCACUUUGCAGCAGCUAAAGCACCUAGAAGAUCUACCCAUUUUUGCAUCCCAAUAAGCAAGAUUCAGCAACAUCGACAUGCGACGGUAGUGAAUAUAUCCCUGAGACCUCAGACCGGUCGUACAAACAUAUUCGGAAAAUCAGAACACCAAGGCAAAAUAUUGGUAUAUGGGCCGUAUAUGGGCCUGUCUAGAUCAGGUGGUGUAGAUGCCAUGUGAACUUUACUAAUAUCUGGGCCCAAAGCCUAUAUAAAUUUGCUAAUCUGGGCCGGUUUGUGAACUGGCCAGCAAAAAUGAUCAUGUUUUUUUUUGAGACUCUCUACUAGAAAUUAUAUGUAUACUUUUCCUAUGGAGGUGAAUCAUCAAAGAUAAUAUGAUCACAAUCAUGGAGAAAUGUG
rnacentral:lncRNA from 1 species